rnacentral:rRNA from 1 species
AGUGAACGCUGGCGGUAGGCCUAACACAUGCAAGUCGAACGGCAGCACAGUAAGAGCUUGCUCUUACGGGUGGCGAGUGGCGGACGGGUGAGGAAUACAUCGGAAUCUACUUUUUCGUGGGGGAUAACGUAGGGAAACUUACGCUAAUACCGCAUACGACCUACGGGUGGAAGCAGGGGAUCUUCGGACCUUGCGCGAUUGAAUGAGCCGAUGUCGGAUUAGCUAGUUGGCGGGGUAAAGGCCCACCAAGGCGACGAUCCGUAGCUGGUCUGAGAGGAUGAUCAGCCACACUGGAACUGAGACACGGUCCAGGCUCCUACGGGAGGCAGCAGUGGGGAAUAUUGGACAAUGGGCGCAAGCCUGAUCCAGCCAUACCGCGUGGGUGAAGAAGGCCUUCGGGUUGUAAAGCCCUUUUGUUGGGAAAGAAAAGCAGCAGGUUAAUACCCCGCUGUUCUGACGGUACCCAAAGAAUAAGCACCGGCUAACUUCGUGC